rnacentral:rRNA from 1 species
AUUUUAUGGAGAGUUUGAUCCUGGCUCAGGACGAACGCUGGCGGCGUGCUUAACACAUGCAAGUCGAACGGAGAUUAGAAGGAAGCUUGCGAAUUCUAAACUUAGUGGCGCACGGGUGAGUAACGCGUGGAUAACCUGCCUGGUAGACCGGGAUAACAGCUGGAAACGGCUGCUAAUACCGGAUACGCUUAAGGGAACGCAUGUUCUUUUAAGG